GCCCAGAUGGAGAGACCGUGUGGGAAGAUCCUGAGAUCCUGGGAUAGAGAAGAGCCUAGCUGAGCCUAACCUUCUAGCAAUUCCCAUCAAAAAGCCAGGCAUGUAAGCACACCCUUUUGGACCCUCCAAAUUGUUCCAGACACCAGCUGAAUAACACCCAGUGAUCCUGGUGGAGGCUACAUAGAGCAGAAGAAUCACCCAGCUCAGCACUGUCUGGCAUCCUGAUCCACAAAAUUAGAAAUUCGGAAUACCAGGAACUUAACUUACAUAGACCCUGAUGCCCUCAAAGAGCUCCCCCUCCUAAAGUUCCUUGGCAUUUUCAACACUGGACUUAAAAUGUUCCCUGACCUGACCAAAGUUUAUUCCACUGAUAUAUUCUUUAUACUUGAAAUUACAGACAACCCUUACAUGACGUCAAUCCCUGUGAAUGCUUUUCAGGGACUAUGCAAUGAAACCUUGACACUGAAGCUGUACAACAACGGCUUUACUUCAGUCCAAGGAUAUGCUUUCAAUGGGACAAAGCUGGAUGCUGUUUACCUAAACAAGAAUAAAUACCUGACAGUUAUUGACAAAGAUGCAUUUGGAGGAGUAUACAGUGGACCAAGCUUGCUGGACGUGUCUCAAACCAGUGUCACUGCCCUUCCAUCCAAAGGCCUGGAGCACCUGAAGGAACUGAUAGCAAGAAACACCUGGACUCUUAAGAAACUUCCACUUUCCUUGAGUUUCCUUCACCUCACACGGGCUGACCUUUCUUACCCAAGCCACUGCUGUGCUUUUAAGAAUCAGAAGAAAAUCAGAGGAAUCCUUGAGUCCUUGAUGUGUAAUGAGAGCAGUAUGCAGAGCUUGCGCCAGAGAAAAUCUGUGAAUGCCUUGAAUAGCCCCCUCCACCAGGAAUAUGAAGAGAAUCUGGGUGACAGCAUUGUUGGGUACAAGGAAAAGUCCAAGUUCCAGGAUACUCGUAACAACGCUCAUUAUUACAUCUUCUUUGAAGAACAAGAGGAUGAGAUCAUUGGUUUUGGCCAAGAGCUCAAAAACCCCCAUGAAGAGACUCUACAAGCUUUUGACAGCCAUUAUGACUACACCGUGUGUGGGGACAGUGAAGACAUGGUGUGUACCCCCAAGUCCGAUGAGUUCAACCCGUGUGAAGACAUAAUGGGCUACAAGUUCCUGAGAAUUGUGGUGUGGUUCGUUAGUCUGCUGGCUCUCCUGGGCAAUGUCUUUGUCCUGCUUAUUCUCCUCACCAGCCACUACAAACUGAAUGUCCCCCGCUUUCUCAUGUGCAACCUGGCCUUUGCGGAUUUCUGCAUGGGGAUGUACCUGCUCCUCAUCGCCUCUGUAGACCUCUACACUCACUCUGAGUACUACAACCAUGCCAUCGACUGGCAGACAGGCCCUGGGUGCAACACGGCUGGUUUCUUCACUGUCUUUGCGAGCGAGUUAUCGGUGUAUACACUGACGGUCAUCACCCUGGAGCGCUGGUAUGCCAUCACCUUCGCCAUGCGCCUGGACCGGAAGAUCCGCCUCAGGCACGCAUGUGCCAUCAUGGUUGGGGGCUGGGUUUGCUGCUUCCUUCUCGCCCUGCUUCCUUUGGUGGGAAUAAGUAGCUA
rnacentral:sRNA from 1 species